GACGAACGCUGGCGGCGUGCUUAACACAUGCAAGUCGAACGGUGAAGCGCCUUCCUUUUUGGUGGGUGUGGAUGAGUGGCGAACGGGUGAGUAACACGUGAGUAACCUGCCCCCUUCUUCUGGAUAACCGCAUGAAAGUGUGGCUAAUACGGGAUAUUCUGGGUCUGUCGCAUGAUGGGUCUGGGAAAGAUAUUGUUUCGGUGGGGGAUGGGCUCGCGGCCUAUCAGCUUGUUGGUGGGGUGAUGGCCUACCAAGGCGGUGACGGGUAGCCGGCCUGAGAGGGUGGACGGUCACACUGGGACUGAGACACGGCCCAGACUCCUACGGGAGGCAGCAGUGGGAAAUAUUGCACAAUGGGCGCAAGCCUGAUGCAGCGACGCCGCGUGAGGGAUGGAGGCCUGCGGGUUGUGAACCUCUUUCGCCAGUGAAGCAGGCCUGCCUCGUUUGUGGGUGGGUUGACGGUAGCUGGAGAAGAAGCGCCGGCUAACUACGUG
rnacentral:rRNA from 1 species